rnacentral:vault_RNA from 1 species
AGUCAGGCUUAGUCAAGUGGUUACUUCGUAUAAACAGUUUAAGGGAACUUUAUAAUCGUGAUGACCGACCCAUUCCUCGAUUGCCCGGGGGUGAGGUCAAUAACCACCGACGCCAUCCUGACUUUUG